UACGUAGGGUGCAAGCGUUGUCCGGAAUUAUUGGGCGUAAAGAGCUCGUAGGCGGUCUGCCGCGUCGGAUGUGAAAAUCCAGGGCUCAACCCUGGACCUGCAUUCGAUACGGGCAGACUAGAGUUCGGUAGGGGAGACUGGAAUUCCUGGUGUAGCGGUGAAAUGCGCAGAUAUCAGGAGGAACACCGGUGGCGAAGGCGGGUCUCUGGGCCGAUACUGACGCUGGAGGCACGAAAGCGUGGGGAGCAAACAGG
rnacentral:rRNA from 1 species